rnacentral:rRNA from 1 species
AGAGUUUGAUCCUGGCUCAGGACGAACGCUGGCGGCGUGCUUAACACAUGCAAGUCGAACGGUGAACCCCAGCUUGCUGGGGGGAUCAGUGGCGAACGGGUGAGUAACACGUGAGUAACCUGCCCCAGACUCUGGGAUAAGCCUUGGAAACGGGGUCUAAUACCGGAUAAGCGGCACCACCGCAUGGUGAGUGUUGGGAAAGUUUUUCGGUCUGGGAUGGACUCGCGGCCUAUCAGCUUGUUGGUGAGGUAAUGGCUCACCAAGGCGACGACGGGUAGCCGGCCUGAGAGGGCGACCGGCCACACUGGAACUGAGACACGGUCCAGACUCCUACGGGAGGCAGCAGUGGGGAAUAUUGCACAAUGGGCGCAAGCCUGAUGCAGCGACGCCGCGUGGGGGAUGAAGGCCUUCGGGUUGUAAACCCCUUUCAGCAGGGAAGAAGCGAGAGUGACGGUACCUGCAGAAGAAGCGCCGGCUAACUACGUGCCAGCAGCCGCGGUAAUACGUAGGGCGCAAGCGUUGUCCGGAAUUAUUGGGCGUAAAGAGCUCGUAGGCGGUUUGUCGCGUCUGCUGUGAAAUCCCGAGGCUCAACCUCGGGCCUGCAGUGGGUACGGGCAGACUAGAGUGUGGUAGGGGAGACUGGAAUUCCUGGUGUAGCGGUGGAAUGCGCAGAUAUCAGGAGGAACACCGAUGGCGAAGGCAGGUCUCUGGGCCACAACUGACGCUGAGGAGCGAAAGCGUGGGGAGCGAACAGGAUUAGAUACCCUGGUAGUCCACGCCGUAAACGGUGGGCACUAGAUGUGGGGCUCUUUCCAUGAGUUCCGCGUCGCAGCUAACGCAUUAAGUGCCCCGCCUGGGGAGUACGGCCGCAAGGCUAAAACUCAAAGGAAUUGACGGGGGCCCGCACAAGCGGCGGAGCAUGCGGAUUAAUUCGAUGCAACGCGAAGAACCUUACCAAGGCUUGACAUAUACCCUCUAUCCCCAGAGAUGGGGAGUGCUUCGGCGGGGUAUACAGGUGGUGCAUGGUUGUCGUCAGCUCGUGUCGUGAGAUGUUGGGUUAAGUCCCGCAACGAGCGCAACCCUCGUCCUAUGUUGCCAGCACGUGAUGGUGGGGACUCAUAGGAGACUGCCGGGGUCAACUCGGAGGAAGGUGGGGAUGACGUCAAAUCAUCAUGCCCCUUAUGUCUUGGGCUUCACGCAUGCUACAAUGGCCGGUACAAUGGGCUGCGAUACCGUAAGGUGGAGCGAAUCCCAAAAAGCCGGUCUCAGUUCGGAUUGAGGUCUGCAACUCGACCUCAUGAAGUCGGAGUCGCUAGUAAUCGCAGAUCAGCAACGCUGCGGUGAAUACGUUCCCGGGCCUUGUACACACCGCCCGUCAAGUCACGAAAGUCGGUAACACCCGAAGCCAGUGGCCCAACUCGCAAGAGAGGGAGCUGUCUAAGGUGGGAUUGGCGAUUGGGACUAAGUCGUAACAAGGUAGCCGUACCGGAAGGUGCGGCUG